rnacentral:lncRNA from 1 species
UAACACACACGAACAAAGCACACGCGCACACUGCACACACUUAACACACAAACCCCUAACACACUGUUUCCAGAUCUUGACAAACCCUAAGAUACACACUCACACUGUCUGCCAGAAGCUGCUGGAACUGCUCGUGCCUCAGGAAGCUGGCGCUGCUGCUCGUGCGUCGUGCGCGCCGCCGCAAGCCACUGGAACUGCUCACGAUCGAGACCGCGCUGGUGCUGCUGCUCGUGCGUCGGUGUUGCACGUGUGCCUGGUUGCAGCUUGUGCGUCUUCAAUUCACGCUGGUUUUUAUGUCUAUUGGAUAUGCUAUUUAGUACUAUUAAUUUUUAGUGAUUAUUGCUGUAACCAAUUUUUUUUUUUUUUAUCAUAAAAGUUUAAAUGGUUGACAUGGGUAGAAUUGUUAUCGUUGAGGCAUUGAUAACCAUAUUUAUUUAUUUAUAUUCUUGAGUAAUGAUUAAAAUUAUUUGGUUUGAAGAUAAAAUUUGAUAAAAAUUUAAAUAGAAAAAUUGGACAAUAAGAGUUUGUUCGUAAUUUUAUUAACUAGAUAAAUUAGACAAUCAAUAAUUAUUUUUAUAUGACAUGUUAAAGAUCAAUAUCUUGACUUAUGUGCUAAAAGGAUAUAACAGUAAUUACAUAUUAAAAUUAUAAUUUCUGUUAAAAAAUAAUUUCGUUAAUAAAUGAAGGUGUAAAUAUUUUUUUCAAAGCAUUAAGAAUUUUUUGUCCUUUUAUUUAAACAUCAAGGUGUAUUAGACAUUUUUCCUUAUGAAUAUAUAAAAAAUAAUAAUGAUAUAAGGAUAAAGAUAGAGAUGAAAAUGACAUGUGACAUUAUUUAAUUAAUCCAUGGUUUCCAACAUUAUUAUUCAAAGUCACAGAAUUCUAGAGCUCCACUAGAUUUUUUUGUAAAAAAAUAAGAAAUAAAAUAAAAGGCUCAAUUAAUUUUGAGAGAUCAAAAUCGAAUAUCUAUAAUAAAGAAGUAUUAAUGAGGCACUUUAUUUUUUGUGGAAAGCUCAAAACUUAUUACACUUUAAAAAUCGUGAGCUUUCUUUGUCUCAAUUAAAGGCUGUCAUUUCUUCUCAUAUUAUUUUACUGAGCUCUUUUUGUUCAGGACACGUAGCUACCCAUGUUCCAAUUUAUGAUAUAUUGGGCAUAAAGAAACUGUUGCAAC